AAUUUGAAACGUGCAUUACAGCAGGUUUUAUUCCUUCUUCAGAAUUUUAUAUCAUUUGCUUGACCAGUGUCAUUUUUCUUUUGUUAUACGUAUAUGUGCAUGUCUGUACAGUAAUAAUCAAAGAGAAUAAUGCAAGUCAAUAUCUGAUAUUCUGCUUUCUGCUGUGUUUACAAGUCCAUUAGUAAUUUGAUAAGUAUGCACUCUUCUCAAAUGAGCAAUAAGUUGCUCUGCUAUCUGUUUGCUUCUCAGUAUUGAUCUCUGAUUUGUAAGUUCUGGUUCUACUUUAUACUGUUUUUUAAUGAAUUGUGAUGCAUCAAAAAAAAAUUAUAGAUGUGUUUAUCAAAAUGUUCAAAUUACCAUCUGGGCUACGUGACAACUGAUACAUAAAAUAGAAGUCAUAAUUACCAUUAAUACAGAUAUAGCUUUUCCAUAGAGGCGAAUGUUGCUAAUUGUGCAACCAUUAUGCCUAUAUCUUAAAUGUGAGUUGUUGACUUAUUAGGCUGGGCUUCUAAUGUGGUUGCACUUAGAAUGCUUCUUUCUUGCUUGUUAUUUAUCUGUGCACACACACACACACACACA
rnacentral:misc_RNA from 1 species